rnacentral:rRNA from 1 species
AACGAACGCUGGCGGCAUGCCUAACACAUGCAAGUCGAACGAGACCUUCGGGUCUAGUGGCGCACGGGUGCGUAACGCGUGGGAACCUGCCCUUAGGUUCGGAAUAACUCCCCGAAAGGGGUGCUAAUACCGGAUAAUGUCUUCGGACCAAAGAUUUAUCGCCUUUGGAUGGGCCCGCGUUGGAUUAGCUAGUUGGUAGGGUAAAAGCCUACCAAGGCGACGAUCCAUAGCUGGUCUGAGAGGAUGAUCAGCCACACUGGGACUGAGACAGGGCCCAGACUCCGACGGGAGGCAGCAGUGGGGAAUAUUGGACAAUGGGCGAAAGCCUGAUCCAGCAAUGCCGCGUGAGUGAUGAAGGCCUUAGGGUUGUAAAGCUCUUUUACCCGGGAUGAGAAUGACAGGACCGGGAGAAUAAGCUCAGGCUAACUCCGUG